ACAUUCUAAAAAGGUUAUAGAGAAAACAUUAUAUGAUAUUUCUGAACUAAACUUUCAGAAUAAAGACUACUGCCAGCCAAUUCUUUUUAUGUUUACUUUAACAUAUGAUACAUCUUAGGAAUCCUUCCCAUAAGAGAUUAUUUUUCCCCAAAGGUUAUUUUUCCCCAUACAACAUACUUGGAAGUACAGAUAUUUAUUAGAAAAAGCAAAAUGAUGUAGGAUCAGUUCUUCAAAUAAAAA